rnacentral:lncRNA from 1 species
CCUUUUCUUAACAGAAUGAUCUCUGGUUCCACCUGUUUUCUUGCAUGAUUGUAAUUUUGGUCCUUUUUAGAGCCAAAUAGAACUUUAUUAAGUGUGUGUGUCACACUUUCUUCAUCCAUUUAUCUGGUGGUGGGCAUCUAGGCAAAGACCGCAGCAAAAAACAUGGGUCCGAUUCCUUUGGCUAUAUGUCAAGGAGUGUUUUACCUCAACCAUAUGGAAGUCCUCUUAUUAGGUUGACUGAACUCAUAACCGUAGCUUCAGCUUCCGGUGGCUCUGUUACAUGACCAGUAAGGACGGGAAGAAUCCAAGAGACUGCCUCCAGCAGAUGUUGGAGCAGGAACAAAGCUCCUUUUUGAUCAUUUAGUUCUUUCAGAGUUGAGACAUUUAUAAAUCGGUAAUAUUCUUAAAUUGAAA